GUGGGGAAUAUUGCACAAUGGGGGAAACCCUGAUGCAGCGACGACGCGUGAGUGAAGAAGUAUUUCGGUAUGUAAAGCUCUAUCAGCAGGGAAGAAAUUGACGGUACCUGACUAAGAAGCCCCGGCUAACUACGUGCCAGCAGCCGCGGUAAUACGUAGGGGGCAAGCGUUAUCCGGAUUUACUGGGUGUAAAGGGAGCGUAGACGGCAUGGCAAGUCAGAUGUGAAAACCCGGGGCUUAACCCCGGGAUUGCAUUUGAAACUGUAAGGCUGGAGUGCGGGAGAGGUAAGUGGAAUUCCUAGUGUAGCGGUGAAAUGCGUAGAUAUUAGGAGGAACACCAGUGGCGAAGGCGGCUUACUGGACCGUAACUGACGUUGAGGCUCGAAAGCGUGGGGAGCAAACAGGAUUAGAAACCCCGGUAGUCC
rnacentral:rRNA from 1 species